CCUACGGGAGGCAGCAGUGGGGAAUCUUGCGCAAUGGGCGAAAGCCUGACGCAGCCAUGCCGCGUGAAUGAUGAAGGUCUUAGGAUUGUAAAAUUCUUUCACCGGGGACGAUAAUGACGGUACCCGGAGAAGAAGCCCCGGCUAACUUCGUGCCAGCAGCCGCGGUAAUACGAAGGGGGCUAGCGUUGCUCGGAAUUACUGGGCGUAAAGGGAGCGUAGGCGGAUAGUUUAGUCAGAGGUGAAAGCCCAGGGCUCAACCUUGGAAUUGCCUUUGAUACUGGCUAUCUUGAGUACGGAAGAGGUAUGUGGAACUCCGAGUGUAGAGGUGAAAUUCGUAGAUAUUCGGAAGAACACCAGUGGCGAAGGCGACAUACUGGUCCGUUACUGACGCUGAGGCUCGAAAGCGUGGGGAGCAAACAGGAUUAGAUACCCUGGUAGUCCACGCUGUAAACGAUGAGUGCUAGUUGUCGGCAUGCAUGCAUGUCGGUGACGCAGCUAACGCAUUAAGCACUCCGCCUGGGGAGUACGGUCGCAAGAUUAAAACUUAAAGGAAUUGACGG
rnacentral:rRNA from 1 species